CGGGGGGCAGCAGUGGGGAAUAUUGGACAAUGGGGGCAACCCUGAUCCAGCCAUGCCGCGUGAGUGAUGAAGGCCUUCGGGUUGUAAAGCUCUUUUGGCGGGGACGAUGAUGACGGUACCCGCAGAAUAAGCCCCGGCUAACUUCGUGCCAGCAGCCGCGGUAAGACGAAGGGGGCUAGCGUUGUUCGGAAUUACUGGGCGUAAAGCGAGUGUAGGUGGUCAUCCAAGUUGGAUGUGAAAGCCUUGGGCUUAACCCAAGAAAUGCAUUCAGGACUGGAUGACUAGAGGACCGGAGAGGAUAGUGGAAUUCCCAGUGUAGUGGUGAAAUACGUAGAGAUUGGGAAGAACACCAGUGGCGAAGGCGGCUAUCUGGACGGUUUCUGACACUAAGACUCGAAAGCGUGGGGAGCAAACAGGAUUAGAUACCCGAGU
rnacentral:rRNA from 1 species